rnacentral:snRNA from 1 species
AUACUUCCCUGGUAGGGAAGAUGCCACGAUCACAAAGGUGGUUGGUUCUUCCUGGGUGAAGCGUAUCCAUCGCACCCUGGGUGUGCUGACCCCGAUACGGGAAACUCCACUGCAUAAUUGGUAGUGGGGACUGCAGAACAAAAUGUCUGCUUUUAGAAAUAGAGGGUUGUUACUCCAUC